CCCGAAAGACCAAACUUGCUGGGUAACGCCCAGUGCGAGUGAUCGUGAGGAUAGUGCCACAGAAAAAUACCGCCCCUCGAUUUUAGAUUUUAUCUGGAAUUUUAGAUUUUAGAUGCAAUCCAAAAUCCAAAAUCCAAAAUUGCAAGGGGUAAGGGUGCAAAGGUGCGGUAAGAGCGCACCAGCAGCAUCGAGAGGUGCUGGCUCGGUAAACCCCGGUUGGGAGCAAGGUCAAAGGAACUAUGGUUGGUCUUUUACCAGUUCCGUAAAAUUAGAGCCGCUAGAGGUGUCUGGUAACAGACAUCCCAGAUAGAUAACCGCCCUCAUCAGCUUAUUGCUAAUGAGAACAGAACCCGGCUUAAA
rnacentral:RNase_P_RNA from 1 species